UACGGGGGGGGCAAGCGUUGUUCGGAAUUACUGGGCGUAAAGGGCUCGUAGGCGGCCAACUAAGUCAGACGUGAAAUCCCUCGGCUUAACCGGGGAACUGCGUCUGAUACUGGAUGGCUUGAGUAUGGGAGAGGGAUGUAGAAUUCCAGGUGUAGCGGUGAAAUGCGUAGAUAUCUGGAGGAAUACCGGUGGCGAAGGCGGCAUCCUGGACCAUUACUGACGCUGAGGCGCGAAAGCUAGGGAGCAACGGG
rnacentral:rRNA from 1 species